rnacentral:rRNA from 1 species
UACGUAGGGUGCAAGCGUUGUUCGGAAUCACUGGGCGUAAAGGGCGUGUAGGCGGAACGAUUAGCGAGGGGUGAAAUCCCGGGGCUCAACCCCGGAACUGCUCUUCGAACUGUCAAACUAGAGUGUGGUAGAGGGAGGUAGAAUUUCCUGUGUAGCGGUGAAAUGCGUAGAUAUAGGAAGGAAUACCGAUGGCGAAGGCAGCCUCCUGGACAGAUACUGACACUCAGAUGCGAAAGCGUGGGGAGCAAACAGG